rnacentral:lncRNA from 1 species
UAUCAUACGCCGUCAUCUCAGAAUUCCAUUAUGAGAUACGCGGCAGCUUUCGGGAUGAAAUUUAGCGCGAGAGGCGUUGAUGUGACUUUUGAGGUCGGUGAAUGGAGGCAGCUAAACUUGUUUGUGCUCAUACGGUCUUUGUUAGCUACAUGCGAGAUACCUUGCAAUAGAGAAUGCUGUAUAGUACCGAUAACGCGUUUCAGCCGGGUGAAAUAUUAUGUUUGGUCCGUUACACACUCAAGGCCUGGGAGUUCGAGUUAUCAUACGCCGUCAUCUAAGAAUUCAAAUAUGACAUACGCGGUACCUUUCGGGAUGAAAUUUAGCGCGAGAGGCGUUGAUGUGACUUUGGCCUCGGUCAAUUGAGGCAGCCAAACUUGUUUGUGCUCAUACGAUUUUUGUUGGCUACAUGCGAGAUACCUUGCAAUAGAGAAUGCUGUAUAGUACCUAUAACGCGUUUCAGCCGGGCGAGAUAUUAUGUUUGGUCCGUUACACACACACACACACACACACACACACACACACACACACACACACACACACACACACACACACACACACACACACACACACGGACAUGGGCAAUCCUACAGGUCGGGGCCCCCCUGGGCGCUUCGCGCUGGGGCCCCGCCCAAAAAUACCAAGAUCGAUAAUACCCUUGUAGGUGUUACCGAGUCAUAUUUAGGUGAUUUUUAUCCAACUGGACAGUUCCAGUGCGAUUGCUGUGGUGCGCUCACGUCGCUUCCUGGUGUGUACGCACUAGUGAGACUAUUUACAUCAUACAGUGGACCCAUUGUUCAGAUCAGACGAGGUAACGAUGGAGCGAUUGCAGACUUUUUUUAAUCAGGGGGAGGUUGACCGGGAGAAUUGUCGGCGCCGCCACCAAUAUAUGCGCAUUGCAUUUGGCGGUGAAGAAGAAGAAGAAGAUGCAAAAGGAUAAGGAACAGAAAAAAGCUAAAGAAAACGACUCAGCCAGGGUCGCGUUGAGAGCUAGCAGGCACCUGCGCAGCGGGCCCGGUUUUGAAAAUGUUUUGAGACGCCCUCAGGAUUUCUCCGAUGCGCGUCCAAACUAAGCAUUUAUAAGUCUUGCUAUAUCUGCAAACAUGCUAACCAUGGGACGUGGAAUAUCGUCUCUUGCAGAGGUCGCCCACAUAGCCGCGGCGGCACUCCUCUGCUGAGCUCGCCUCUGUCCCCGUCGGGUCGUCCCUACAGCAGCAGCAGCAGCAGCAACAGCAGCAGGAUAGGGCUCAGUAGCGCAACAAGAGCCGCAACAAGUUGACUCUGUGUUAACUUUAGCGCCAACGGCCUCGUCCCAAGAGCCCGCAGGCUAAAUGGCCUUCACUGUACAACCGCUGUAAAGGGGUGACGAUGUGGUUCCAUUAAGGGGGCCGAGGACUGCCGGAGACGCUGGCAGGGUUGAGGCAGGAAUCCAUUACAAGCCAAUUAUAAUAGUCAGCCCAUAAUAAACAUCUCAGUAACACGGAUAAAUAUAUAUAUAUAUAUAUAUAUAUAUAUAUAUAUAUAUAUAUAUACAUAUAUAUAUAUAUA